rnacentral:rRNA from 1 species
UACGUAGGGGGCAAGCGUUGUCCGGAUUUAUUGGGCGUAAAGAGCGUGUAGGCGGCCAGGUAGGUCCGCUGUGAAAACCCGAGGCUCAACCUCGGGACGUCGGCGGAAACCAUCUGGCUAGAGUUCGGGAGAGGAGAGUGGAAUUCCCGGUGUAGCGGUGAAAUGCGCAGAUAUCGGGAAGAACACCCGUGGCGAAGGCGGCUCUCUGGAACGAUACUGACGCUGAGACGCGAAAGCGUGGGGAGCGAACAGG